CCUACGGGAGGCUGCAGUGGGGAAUAUUGGACAAUGGGCGAAAGCCUGAUCCAGCCAUGCCGCGUGUGUGAAGAAGGCCUUCGGGUUGUAAAGCACUUUCAGUGGGGAAGAAAGCCUUGGGGCUAAUACCCUCGAGGAAGGACAUCACCCACAGAAGAAGCACCGGCUAACUCCGUGCCAGCAGCCGCGGUAAUACGGAGGGUGCGAGCGUUAAUCGGAAUUACUGGGCGUAAAGCGCGCGUAGGCGGUCUGAUAAGCCGGUUGUGAAAGCCCCGGGCUCAACCUGGGAACGGCAUCCGGAACUGUCAGGCUAGAGUGCAGGAGAGGAAGGUAGAAUUCCCGGUGUAGCGGUGAAAUACGUAGAGAUCGGGAGGAAUACCAGUGGCGAAGGCGGCCUUCUGGACUGACACUGACGCUGAGGUGCGAAAGCGUGGGUAGCAAACAGGAUUAGAUACCCCAGUAGUC
rnacentral:rRNA from 1 species